AUUGAACGCUGGCGGCAGGCCUAACACAUGCAAGUCGAGCGAGCGGCGGACGGGUGAGUAAUGUAUGGGAAACUGCCUGAUGGAGAGGGAUAAAUACUGGAAACGGUAGCUAAUACCGCAUACCAUCAGAUGUGCCAAGAUUGGAUUAGCUAGUAGGUGGGGUAACGGCUCACCUAGGCGACGAUCCCUAUCUAGUCUGAGAGGAUGACCAGCCACAGUGGAACUGAGACACGGUCCAGACUCCUACGGGAGGCAGCAGUGGGGAAUAUUGCACAAUGGGCGCAAGCCUGAUGCAGCCAUGCCGCGUGUGUGAAGAAGGCCUUCGGGUUGUAAAGCACUUUCAGCGGGGAGGCGUUACCCGCAGAAGAAGCACCGGCUAACUCCGUGCCAGCAGCCGCGGUAAUAC
rnacentral:rRNA from 1 species